AGAGUUUGAUCAUGGCUCAGGAUGAACGCUAGCGGCAGGCCUAACACAUGCAAGUCGCGGGGUAACAAUAAGUGCUUGCACUUGGUUGACGACCGGCGCACGGGUGAGUAACGCGUAUGCAACCUGCCUUCUACAGGAGGAUAGCCCGAAGAAAUUCGGAUUAAUACUCCAUACGAUUGUCCUUACACAAGUAUAGACAAAGAAAGCUUCGGCGGUAGAAGAUGGGCAUGCGUCCUAUUAGUUAGUUGGUAAGGUAACGGCUUACCAAGGCAGCGAUAGGUAGGGGGCCUGAGAGGGUGGUCCCCCACACUGGUACUGAGACACGGACCAGACUCCUACGGGAGGCAGCAGUGAGGAAUAUUGGUCAAUGGAGGCAACUCUGAACCAGCCAUGCCGCGUGCAGGAAGAAUGCCCUAUGGGUUGUAAACUGCUUUUAUUUAGGAAGAACCCCCAGUACGUGUACUGGGCUGACGGUACUAAACGAAUAAGGACCGGCUAACUCCGUGCCAGCAGCCGCGGUAAUACGGAGGGUCCAAGCGUUAUCCGGAAUCAUUGGGUUUAAAGGGUCCGCAGGCGGAUCAAUAAGUCAGUGGUGAAAUCUCUCAGCUCAACUGGGAAACUGCCAUUGAAACUGUUGAUCUUGAAUUCGGUCGAAGUGGGCGGAAUGUGUCAUGUAGCGGUGAAAUGCAUAGAUAUGACACAGAACACCGAUAGCGAAGGCAGCUCACUAGGCCUGAAUUGACGCUCAGGGACGAAAGCGUGGGGAGCGAACAGGAUUAGAUACCCUGGUAGUCCACGCCGUAAACGAUGAUUACUCGAUAUCAGCGACAUACCAGUUGGUGUCUAAGCGAAAGUGAUAAGUAUCCCCCUGGA
rnacentral:rRNA from 1 species